AUUGAACGCUGGCGGCAGGCUUAACACAUGCAAGUCGAGCGGAGAUGAGGUGCUUGCACCUUAUCUUAGCGGCGGACGGGUGAGUAAUGCUUAGGAAUCUGCCUAUUAGUGGGGGACAACAUUCCGAAAGGAAUGCUAAUACCGCAUACGCCCUACGGGGGAAAGCAGGGGAUCUUCGGACCUUGCGCUAAUAGAUGAGCCUAAGUCGGAUUAGCUAGUUGGUGGGGUAAAGGCCUACCAAGGCGACGAUCUGUAGCGGGUCUGAGAGGAUGAUCCGACAGACUGGGACGGAGACACGGGCCAGACUCCUACGGGAGGCAGCAGUGGGGAAUAUUGGACAAUGGGCGGAAGCCUGAUCCAGCCAUGCCGCGUGUGUGAAGAAGGCCUUUUGGUUGUAAAGCACUUUAAGCGAGGAGGAGGCUACCUGGAUUAAUACUCUAGGAUAGUGGACGUUACUCGCAGAAUAAGCACCGGCUAACUCUGUGCCAGCAGCAGCCGCCGUAA
rnacentral:rRNA from 1 species